rnacentral:rRNA from 1 species
GAUUAACGCUGGCGGCGUGCCUAACACAUGCAAGUCGAACGAGGUAGCAAUACCUAGUGGCAGACGGGUGAGUAACGCGUGGUCAACCUACCGUUGAGUGGGGGAUAACUAGCCGAAAGGUUAGCUAAUACCGCAUACGUCUCCGAGUGGCAUCACUUGGCGAUAAAAGGAGCAAUCCGCUCGAUGACGGGACCGCGUCCCAUUAGCUAGAUGGUGGGGUAACGGCCUACCAUGGCACCGAUGGGUAGCUGGUUUGAGAGAGCGACCAGCCACACUGGGACUGAGAAACGGCCCAGACUCCUACGGGAGGCAGCAGUGAGGAAUUUUCCGCAAUGGGCGCAAGCCUGACGGAGCGACGCCGCGUGUGGGAAGAAGGCCUUC